UUGUGUACUAUGGUCUUAACAAAUAGUUGAAGGAUUUAUCACAUUCAGACAUUGCGAUAGGUCAUUGUUAAUUUUAAAUUUGCUUGUUAUUUAACGGAAGCAAUAUCGGCAAAUGUUACUUGGUUGUUCGUGCUAUUUGGUUUAAACAUAUUUAUGUAUAUACAUGAAAAUAUUCACAGUAAUAUGUGGAUUGACAUGGAAGCUAUCCUAAGCUUAGUGUAAGUCGUUCUACGAGCAUGAAGAAAAACGAUCCAUUAGGCGAGAAGGACUUCAAUUGAUAAAGAUGUUAAUGUCGAGUGGUUGUGGUGGAAAGUACUUGCAGGAAGAGAUAGGGAAGGGAAUAGAUAGAAAAAUGGAUGCGGACUAAGAGUGGAAGAACGAGGUUGGAGCAAGAGUUAGAAGGGAGCUGCGGAGCACAUGAAGUUUAUGAGAAAAUUGGUACCGAAGGCGUCGGCGUCUUAUCGAAGCGUUUAUAGCGGUCGUUGGUUCAUGGGUGGACAUAAGUCAGAAAGAUAAGUUGUGGUUAGGUUAUUAUUCAUUUUGUAAAAGAAGAAUAAGUUUAUGUUUAGCUCUACGAUUACUUAUGGUUUCCCAUCCGACUUCUUCCAAAAGCUUUUGAAUUGAGACUAAUUUCGUGGCACCUAUGACUAUUCGUGCAGCCUCAAUUUGGACGUUUUCUAACAUUUCUUGGUCGUGUAAUGAGCAGUUGUCGUAAAUGACUUAUUAUCAUUGACUCUCUGUUAUAAGGAUUGAAAAUGACAAGUCAUGUUUUAGCCCAUUUGUUGAUUCGUUCGAGAUCGGAGUUAAGCGUAGCUGCAGCGUGGACUGGAUUGUCGACUACAACAUAAUGGAUAGUGUCGUCGGCAAAUAACCUGUUGUUUGCUUUAAUAUCUAGAACAAUAUCAUUAAUAAAGAUUUAAAAAAAAAGAAGAGGCCCUAAAAUUGAGCCGCCCUGUGGUACUCCAGCGUUGAUAUGAGACCAAUUGGAUUCUGCGUUUGGAAGAACAACGUUUUGUUUGCGGUUUGUAAGUUAAGAAGACCAUAGAUGGAGCAGUGAUAUCUAAUGAUCAAGACAGGGGUCUCCCACCCCCGAUGAGUGAAUAAUGGAGGUAUGGGGUCUUGGGAACAGUACUCCUCAGCGGGUAGGAGCAAGAGCUCAAGAACGGGAGAUUGAAAACCUGCGGCUGCCCACAAGCAUCGUAUAGUGGGGAAUUGGCGGCUUGACAUUGUCAACAUUACGGAGGUCAAUCGAAGCCAAUUUGUUACCUUUCACACCGCCAAAGGUAUUGGUAUUGCACCUGUGCGGAAGACUUAGUGAUCUAUGCACGGACGCAUGUACAAAGGUACGAAAUAAUAUAAAGAGAGAAAUUAAAUAUUUAAGGACAGCUUUCAUAGACACAGCAAUAAUCUUGGUGGGCAUAAUUGUCCGCAUAAAUUGGCGCUUUUCCCUCCCCAGGAAGAUUAUUACGUCAAAACGUCGACGUGUAAACAGGUUUGGCCGAGUGUGUGUGCAAUUGGCAAGCCGCAGCACCAGUAUCACUGUAGACAUUGAUGCAAACACCCCGGUUUUUUUCCUCCCGGAUGGGGUGCAAUUCUCACCAGUGGGGCUUGAGUUUUAUCUGGACACCCUGCGGGAUGCGAUUAUGCAAUUUUUAUAAUAUAUUUGUAUAUGCUAUUUUUACUCGUUUCCUUUUUUCUGUCAAAAAUACUAUAAACUUUUUUAUUAUAUGUUUAUGCUUU